GACGUAGGAGGCGAGCGUUGUCCGGAUUCAUUGGGCGUAAAGAGCACGCAGGCGGUUUGGCAAGUCGGAUGUGAAAACCCGGAGCUCAACUCCGGACCUGCAUCCGAAACUGCCCGACUAGAGGUAGGUAGGGGAGAUCGGAAUUCCUGGUGUAGCGGUGAAAUGCUCAGAUAUCAGGAGGAACACCGGUGGCGAAGGCGGAUCUCUGGGCCUUACCUGACGCUCAGGUGCGAAAGCUAGGGGAGCGAACAGG
rnacentral:rRNA from 1 species